CCCAUAUUAUGGUAUUUGCUUGAUGAAUGGCCACUUGGAGGGCCACUAGGCCUAUGCAUUGUUGAGUGGGAGGGCCCGUGUCCCAUCUCCCCCAUGGCUCCAGGCCUCUCUGAGGAGAGCUGAAGCAGGUGGACUGACUAGUCCCCGCACCCCCCCGCCAUUGGCUUUCCGGGAGACAGGAGGCAGGUCCUCAGUGCCAUACUACUGAGGCUCAGCAGCCAAGUGAGGAAACGAUUAGAAACCCAGACCCCUUGAGCCCUGCCAAGUCCUCACUCCUUGGGAGGUGCUGACAGGAGCCUUGAGGCCAGGCAGGAGCAGCCCAUCUGGCCCAUAUUCUGCCACCACCCCCCACCCUACUCCUCCCCUCCCUCUCCACGCUUGCCAUGUUUUCCUCAGCAGGACAGAUAUUUAAUGGUGACUUUGUGGACCGAGGCUCCUUCUCUGUAGAAGUGAUCCUCACCCUUUUCGGCUUCAAGCUUCUGUACCCAGAUCACUUUCACCUACUUCGAGGCAACCACGAGACAGACAACAUGAACCAGAUCUACGGUUUCGAGGGUGAGGUGAAGGCCAAGUACACAGCCCAGAUGUACGAGCUCUUUAGCGAGGUGUUCGAGUGGCUCCCGUUGGCCCAGUGCAUCAACGGCAAAGUGCUGAUCAUGCACGGAGGCCUGUUCAGUGAAGACGGCGUCACCCUGGAUGACAUCCGGAAAAUUGAGCGGAAUCGACAACCCCCAGAUUCAGGUCCCAUGUGUGACCUGCUCUGGUCAGAUCCACAGCCGCAGAACGGGCGCUCGGUCAGCAAGCGGGGCGUGAGCUGUCAGUUUG
rnacentral:sRNA from 1 species